rnacentral:rRNA from 1 species
CCUACGGGAGGCAGCAGUGGGGAAUAUUGGGCAAUGGACGCAAGUCUGACCCAGCAACGCCGCGUGAAGGAAGAAGGCUUUCGGGUUGUAAACUUCUUUUCAGGGGGAAGAGCAGUAGACGGUACCCCUUGCAUAAGCCACGGCAAACUACGUGCCAGCAGCCGCGGUACUACGUAGGUGGCAAGCGUUGUUCGGAUUUAUUGGGUUUAAAGGGUGCGUAGGCGGAAUGUUAAGUCCGCGGUAAGAUCGCGGGGCUCAAUCUCGCUCCGCCGUUGACACUGGCGUACGUGAGUGGGCGAGAGGGAGGCGGAAUGCGUGGUGUAGCAGUGAAAUGCAUAGAUAUCGCGCGGAACUCCGAUUGCGAAGGCAGCAUACCGGAGCCCAACGGACGCUGAAGCACGAAGGCGUGGGUAUCGAACGGGAUUAGAUACCCCAGUAGUC